rnacentral:tmRNA from 1 species
GGGGCUGAUUCUGGAUUCGACGGGAUUUGCGAAACCCAAGGUGCAUGCCGAGGGGCGGUUUGCCUCGUUAAAAGCCGCAAAAAAAUAGUCGCAAACGACGAAAACUACGCUUUAGCAGCUUAAUAACACGGGGAUCAAAGAGAGGUCAAACCCAAAAGAGAUCGCGUGGAAACCCUGCCUGGGGUUGAAGCGUUAAAACUAAUCAGGCUAGUUCGUUAGUGGCGUGUUUGUCCGCAGCUGGCGUGCGAAUGUAAAGACAAACUAAGCAUGUAGUACCGAGGAUGUAGAAAUUUCGGACGCGGGUUCAACUCCCGCCAGCUCCACCA